UGGGGUGUAGCUCAAUUGGCAGAGCGCCCGGCUGUUAACCGGGAGGUUGCUGGUUCGACCCCAGCCGCCCCAG
rnacentral:tRNA from 2 species